CUGAGGUUUGUCGCAUGUAGAUUGAAGCUGUUGGGUUGGUCGCAAGCCUUGCUUUGAGUCUAUCCAGGCUUCCAUCAGGUGCAAGUUUUGCCUUGAACACCCAUCUGCAUCCGAUAACAUGCAUAUGAUCAUUUCGAGGAACUAAAUCCCAGGUAUUUGUUCCUCUAUGAUUGGAGAUGGCAAGUGCAAUUCGGUAACUCCAGAGGCAUUAUGGAGAUCAUUCUGUAUUUCAGCAUCAGAUACUAUCUGGAAAUGUGAUUGGCUCGCAGGAUUACCUGUACUGAACUCAUUGUCCUGUAUUACUGAAGUUGUUUGAGUUGAUCUGGUAAGAGACAUCUGUAUCCCUUAUGCUUCUCACUAUAUCCAAGAAAGAUACAUAGUCUCCACUGUUUUAAGACUAGUGUGAGCAAGUCUUUGAUGCCAGAUGUCCUCUCCAACCUCUGGUUGAGUUUGUGUGAAGAAGACCUCUGCAACUUUAGGUUCCACCUGG